UGUAAGCAUUUAUGGAACACUUGGUUAACUUGUUUAUGAGCAGGAUGAUAUUGAAAUUUCAAGAUUUUAAAAUCAUGUUUUAAUUCUUGAGCAACUUUACUGGUAAUUUGAAAUACUGUGUAGGUUAUUGAAAGAAAGUCAGUGGCGGUGGGUGAUUAAUGUUGCUAUUUACUUGUGACAACGUCGAAGAAGCCUGUUUUGUCGGGUGAUUAGGGUCACAGAUAAAGUAUUCCUACUAAUGUUAUUACACGUAUUUUAAUAUUAAAACCCGAUAAUGACAAAGGAAAUUGAAACUGGUUUUUGUUUGGUUGAUUAAGGCUUAGCUUCCUCUUGUAUUGUUCAAUGUGCGAUGAGCUAAGGGCCUGAUUACUCGAUGUUCUUUGGCUAUACGCUAUGCGAACUGCAGUUAAAAAAGUUAUAUAUUUGUGAUCAACGUGUUUCUAAUUUUUAAGGACUGGGUUCGGAAGUUGUGAGUGGUCAUUUAACCUUAGCUAACAUCGCGUUCGCCAAAAAAAAAAAAAAAAGAAUUUGAAGUCUGUUUAAAGGUGAGAUGUAUGUUUCAUCGAAAAAAAUAAAUAAAAGGUCAAAGUGAAACAAGGAAAAUGGAGGGAAUAAUAGCUAGUUUAUUAACUCACAAUCAAUGGAGGGGGUUAAAAAACCUUGUAAUUCUAAAUGCUAAUGAUUCCAAUGUGACUGGCGUUUUCCGUUGAUAUUUGAAAAUACGACGUAAACAAAAAUAAUAACGUAAAAAAACCUUAAAAAAGGGACAAAAUGCAUCCAACAGCAUGAGCAAGAGUCUUGGGGGACGACGUAGCAAUUGAAGGGAACAUUUAUUGCUUCAGUAAUAAAUAAUAAUAGUCCGCAUUUACGUUACGUGUUAACGGAAAGCUGUGCCUCCCGCGUAUUUUCUUCACAAAUUGGGAACCUUUCAAGUCCAACCUCAUUUCAUUCGGCAUUCGCUCUGCUCUGCUUCCCUUCCCAACGUCUACAGUAAUACUAAAUAAAGAAUACAAUAUUCGAUAAGAAGGCAAAACAAGAUUCCAAAUUGUAUGACCAGUGACUAGGCUAUUAUUCUUCUCCCACAUGCCACUUCAAUUUAAUUUUUAACCAAACAUAUUCACAAAUAGAAAACAAAAGAAAAAAAAGAAAAAGAGUUAAUCUCCAUGACGACAUUUCUCGUCACUUGUCGAAAUUUCGCUCUUCUAUUCCACAGCCCCUUUUCGAAUCUUCUUUAGUAAUUGAUUCCGAUCCCUCUCUCUCUCUCUAUAAAAGACAUUCAGAGUCUUUUUGCGUUAAAAGAGCAAAUCGUUUCUGCGCUGCCACGUGAGUGCCGCGUGGCGACAGAGUAAGCAACCGUUACUCCUCGCCGAUGGCGAUCUCCGAUGUGUCUGAAAGCGUAGGCACCGCCUCCGUCCAAAGCGACUCGGAUCUCAGACUGCGGCGCAAGUCCAGCGCCACCUCCGCCGGCGGCCUCUUCGACGCCGAAGACGCCGUCAGAUAUUCAGGCUCCGACGAGUCCUUGAACGGAAAGAGCAACGACGAGAAUCAAGAUCCCAAGAUGAAUCAUGCAGACUCCGAUAAUGCGACCGCCAAUGACCGAGAACUAGUCGCCGAGGUCAAAUACGCUUACCGUCCCUCCGUUCCCGCUCACCGCAGAAUCAAGGAGAGUCCGCUCAGCUCCGACAACAUUUUCAGACAGAGUCACGCAGGACUGUUCAAUCUCUGUAUAGUAGUGCUUGUUGCGGUGAACAGCAGACUUAUCAUUGAGAAUUUAAUGAAGUAUGGUUGGUUGAUUAAAUAUGGCUUUUGGUUUAGUUCAAAAUCGUUGAGAGAUUGGCCCCUCUUCAUGUGCUGUCUUAGUCUCAACAUAUUUCCGCUUGCUGCCUUUCUAGUGGAAAGGUUGGCACAACAAAAGUGUAUUUCUGAACCAGUUGUUGUUCUACUUCAUGUAAUCAUCACGAUUGUUGAAUUCUCCUAUCCAGUUUUAGUGAUACUCAGGUGCGAUUCUGCUUUUUUAUCCGGUGUCACGUUGAUGCUAUUUACUUGCAUUGUGUGGUUAAAAUUGGUGUCAUAUGCACAUACAAACUAUGAUAUGAGAGCACUUACUGUUUCAAAUGAAAAGGGAGAAACAUUACUUGAUACUUCGAUUAUGGAGUAUCCGUACAUUGUGACCUUCAAGAGUUUGGCAUACUUCAUGGUUGCUCCUACAUUAUGCUAUCAGACAAGCUAUCCUCGCACACCUUCUGUUCGAAAAGGUUGGGUGUUUCGUCAACUUGUCAAGCUGAUAAUAUUUACAGGAGUCAUGGGGUUUAUAAUAGAACAAUAUAUGAAUCCUAUUGUACAAAAUUCUCAACAUCCUUUGAAGGGAAACCUUCUAUAUGCCAUUGAGAGAGUUUUGAAGCUUUCUGUUCCAAAUGUAUACGUGUGGCUCUGCAUGUUCUACUGCUUUUUCCACCUUUGGUUAAAUAUACUUGCAGAGCUUGUUCGAUUUGGUGAUCGUGAGUUCUAUAAAGAUUGGUGGAAUGCCAAGACUGUUGAAGAGUAUUGGAGAAUGUGGAAUAUGCCUGUGCACAAAUGGAUGGUUCGCCACAUAUAUUUUCCAUGCAUAAGGAAUGGUAUACCCAAGGGUGCUUCUGCAUUAAUUGCCUUCCUGGUCUCUGCGGUGUUUCAUGAGGACUCCUUAAAGACUUUGUGAAGACGGCUGUCAAUUGAUUGUUUGAAUUGACAAUAUUAGUGGUGAUGUCACUUGUGUUGUUAUAUUCAUUAUUGGUAUUGUUGUUUUAAUUGAGUUGUGUCAUUUAUUGUAUUGCCUUUAAUUUUUUCCUCCUUUAGCAAUUUUGCUCAUUCUCAUUUGAGUGCAGUUAUGCAUUGCCGUUCCUUGCCAUGUGUUCAAGUUGUGGGCUUUUAUAGGAAUUAUGUUUCAGGUUCCUUUGGUCUUGAUCACUAAUUACCUGCAAAAUAAAUACAGAAACUCAAUGGUUGGAAAUAUGAUUUUUUGGUUCAUAUUUUGUAUUCUUGGGCAACCUAUGUGCGUAUUAUUAUACUACCAUGACUUGAUGAAUAGAAAAGGAGAAGUUGACUAAGGCAGCAUUGCAUAAUUAACUGUCGAUGUGGAUGAGCUUUUGCAUUUUCUGAGAUGUAGAUAUCUUUGUUUUGUAUGGGGAUCAUCAUCUGCUUUGACAGUGAUUCCUCUGGGUUAAGCUUUUCCAUGUGAUUUGCGAGUCUUUGGACGUUAAUUCAUCUUGAUCUAUGUACUUUAUAACUUGCUCUUGCACUUUCAUCAAUAUGCAAGCAAUUUUGGAAGCAAACUAACAAUGUCAUGUGGCAGCUGCUAAUAGCUGUAAUUGUUAGUUGAGUUGAGUUGAGGGAUAGCUCAUAGUUGUAAUUGCCCAAGUGGUUUGACUGUAUCUAGUUUCUAGAAAGUUUUAUGAAUGAUGAUGGCCAUCAUUCAGUGCACUAAUAACAUGCUAAUUUCGUAAAUGAGGAAUACGGGACAAGAGUACCUUUGGUGCGUAAUAUUU